CGGGGGGCAGCAGUAGGGAAUAUUGGGCAAUGGAGGCAACUCUGACCCAGCCAUGCCGCGUGCAGGAUGAAGGCGUUAUGCGUUGUAAACUGCUUUUAUAUAGGAAGAAAUAGACCUUGCGAGGUAAGUUGACGGUACUAUAUGAAUAAGCACCGGCUAACUCCGUGCCAGCAGCCGCGGUAAUACGGAGGGUGCAAGCGUUGUCCGGAUUUAUUGGGUUUAAAGGGUGCGUAGGCGGUUUAUUAAGUCAGUGGUGAAAGACGGUCGCUCAACGAUUGCAGUGCCAUUGAUACUGGUAGACUUGAGUGAGAUUGAGGUAGCUGGAAUGGAUAGUGUAGCGGUGAAAUGCAUAGAUAUUAUCCAGAACACCAAUUGCGUAGGCAAGUUACUAAGUCUCAACUGACGCUGAGGCACGAAAGUGUGGGUAUCAAACAGGAUUAGAUACCCGAGU
rnacentral:rRNA from 1 species